CCCCUCUCAGGAUUGCACCUGGAGAGUUUCCGGUGCUCUUCCAGUCUUGGCUAUGGGAGGGAGAGUCAAGCAGAGGCAUAUCCAUUCCAUUCCUAGCUUGGGCAGUGGCUAGCAAGUGGAAGGCAAUCUACAAGUCAA